CCUAUAUAAAUGCUUUGUAGAUAGUCUAGGUAGAUGUACCUGCUUGUGCCAAGGACUGGACAUCCUGCAACUGAACUCAACGUUUUUGUUACAAAAAUGUUGACCAACUUGCUGCGGCUGGCCUGUUUACUUCUCUUGCUCAUUAGUCUCGUCACGUCGCAAUUUUUGCUACCGCCGCCAGGAGCAGCAGAACCUCUUCCUCAACCGCCUUCCCCCUCGUUUCUCUCCCUGCUGUUUCUAAGACAUUUGUUUGAUACGUAACUGGGAGACAUCGAAACAAAGUGGACACAUCGAAACAAAGUGGACACAACGAAACAAAGUGGACACAAGGAAACUGGGAAAUCAAAAAGUAGCAAAACAUCUCCAGCAGUCGUGUGAUAUUUAUACAUGUGUGUAAAGGCUGUUUUCUCAUUUAUAGUGUCAUUGUAAUGUUUAGCUGUCCAUUAGUAUAUAAAAAAUAUUUGUUUUAGUGAAUACAUGGCUUGGACUUUAUUGAAGCACAUUUCAUCUCUAAACUUGAUUGUUUUGUGCUGUAACAAAAGGUUGUAAAUAUGACAAAAGCUAUUUAAGACAAUUAAUGCAAAACACAAUGAACCUUGCGCAAACUGAUGUAGAACAUUCUAGAGUGAAAGUUUGUAUCCAAGAAGUUUUCACAAUGUCAAAGGAAUUUUAAAAAUUUAAAAAAUAGUUUUAUAUAAAAUGUAGGUAAUUAAGAAAAAAUUGAUCUACCUAAAGUCAUUACGGCUGACAUGUAUUAUAGAACAAACCUUAAUGUUUAUAUCUCUAUAAGAAUGAAGCAUUAAAAUGUUGCUAUGGAUACUUUUGUACUAACAUUAAACAUUCAUACAUGUUCAAUGUCAAGUAAACGCUUAUAGAUAAUAGUAAGGCGCCAUCUAGUGGUAACUAACUACAUAGCAAUUAAGAUUAAGAUUUUCGCAAUAAGGGGAUCUUCAUAAAUAGAGGCGAAUCUAUAUAUAGCAAUCUUUAUGGUGUAUUAAGUGUACAGGAUACACAGGCAUGAAUAAUUAUAAAAAUCCCCUAUUCAAUAAUAGCAUAAUGUUCAUUAGAAUUUUCAUUUUUUUUUAAAGAAAUCACUAUUUUGUUUGUAUAGUAAAGGAUAUUGUAAAUAGUGUAUGUAUUUCAUAGUUGGCAGUUAGUUCUAUAGUUCCGUGUAGUUUCGUCUAGUUCUGUUCUAGUUGUAGUAUUAGUUCUCAUGAUUUCAAAUGAAAUACUAUGUUCGUGAAAUGGUUGAAUGAAUAAAUAUUUGAAUACAUCUUU